GGCCUAAUAGCUCAGUUGGUAGAGCACUCGCCUCCAGUUUCCAGUAUAUGGACGAAGCGAUAGCGAUAGGUCAUCCGUUCAAAUCGGGUUUGGGUCA
rnacentral:tRNA from 1 species